rnacentral:rRNA from 1 species
UACGUAGGGUGCGAGCGUUGUCCGGAAUUAUUGGGCGUAAAGAGCUUGUAGGCGGUUUGUCGCGUCUGCUGUGAAAUCUCAAGGCUCAACCUUGAGCUUGCAGUGGGUACGGGCAGACUAGAGUGUGGUAGGGGAGACUGGAAUUCCUGGUGUAGCGGUGAAAUGCGCAGAUAUCAGGAGGAACACCGAUGGCGAAGGCAGGCCUCUGGGCCACUACUGACGCUGAGAAGCGAAAGCAUGGGGAGCGAACAGG